UACGAACUGUGCGAACGUUAUUCGGAAUCACUGGGCUUACAGGGUGCGUAGGCGGCUCAACAAGUCAGGUGUGAAAGCCCCCGGCUCAACCGGGGAACUGCGCUUGAAACUGUUAGGCUCGAGUCAGCUAGAGGUACACGGAACUUCCAGUGGAGCGGUGAAAUGUGUUGAUAUUGGAAGGAACACCGGAGGCGAAAGCGGUGUGACUGGGGCUGGUCUGACGCUGAGGCACGAAAGCCAGGGAGCG
rnacentral:rRNA from 1 species